UAAAGAGAUUAGAAGAGAAAAGAAGGAGCACAAUGAUGAGGGCCCCCACGUACAUCUUUUAUUCCCACCCCCAGCCCACGUCCAACAAUGGGGGGUCCUGGGAAGAGACAGGAGUAGAAGGUGGAGCAGCAGAGGGAGGAACAUGAGUGGACAAGGGCCAAGUAGUAACUGAAAAACAUGGUCAACCCCAUCUGAAUUUGCUUCAACACCCAGUGGAGCUUCCACAUAACGACACAGCCAUGUAUAGGGGUCCCAGCAGUGGCCCUAGAGCAACACAAGCCAAUCCCUGAUCACACUGAGCACCGAGUGCAACUGGAACUCUCUAUUUGCCCCCAGCAUGUCUGCACUGGUAUCUACAAUGGGCCCUUGCACCACAAGCAGUCCCUGGUGAGGCCUCAUCUGGAGUAUGGGGGCAGUUUUGGACUCCAGUCCUUAAGAGGGAUAUAAAUGAGCUGGAGAGAGUGCAGAGACUAAGUGCAACUAAACUGCACUCACACUGGCCACAAACUGUACAAUUCCCAAUCAAUGGCUGCCCCCCAAUUGCUGUUUUUUCCAUGCGGCACCUCAGCUUUACAGGACAAUUCCAAACUCAAACACCAGGGGGCAGCCAAGUGCAGCACAAAUAGGCUCAUAAACUGAAGGCGGAUGUGGAUUUUGUGAUCUAAAAUUUCUGUCAUAAAAUCUGCGGGAUUAAUUGUUCAUUUCAAUAAAGAGAAUUUGAGAAGAAAAGAAAGAAACUGUUGGGUGACUGAGUCAGUCCAGAAAAUGUGCUCAAUAAACAUCUUGUUGGGUGCGGAGUGAUUUACCUGCUCAGUCAUAGUACCCGAAAUUCCUACAUUCACAGACAGUUACAGGGGAACAAGGCACUCGGAGGAGGUGAGACUUUGGGGGACAGUAUAUAGAGACAGUUACAGGGGAACAAGGCACUCGGGGGGAGGUGAGACUUUGGGGGACAGUAUAUAGAGACAGUUACAGGGGAACAAGGCACUCGGGGGAGGUGAGACUUUGGGGGACAGUAUAUAGAGACAGUUACAGGGGAACAAGGCACUCGGGGGAGGUGAGACUUUGGGGGACAGUAUAUAGAGACAGUUACAGGGGAACAAGGCACUCGGGGGAGGUGAGACUUUGGGGGACAGUAUAUAGAGACAGUUACAGGGGAACAAGGCACUCGGGGGAGGUGAGACUUUGGGGGACAGUAUAUA